rnacentral:misc_RNA from 1 species
CUACUUCACGACCACCGCAUUUGCCGCAGUGGCUCCUCAUUCACCUCUUCCUCUCUGAUCUGCCCUGACUGGGGGUGCGUAAUUGCUCUCUCUCUUGCUUUCAAUUUAACAGCUGAGCUGACUGAAUAAAACAGAGAAGAAAACGAGUAUGUACGGAAGGGAUCCAUGGGGUGGUCCGCUGGAGAUAAACGCGGCGGACUCCGCCACCGACGAUGAACGGAGUAGGAAUCUGCAGGAAUUAGACAGGGCUGCUUUGUCCAGGCCUUUGGAUGAGACUCAGCAGAGCUGGCUUCUUGGUCCAGCUGAGCAGAAGAAGAAGAAGAAGUACGUCGAUCUUGGCUGUAUCAUCGUCAGCCGCAAGAUCUUCGUCUGGACCGUCGGUACUCUUCUCGUCUCCGGCUUCUUAGCUGGCUUCAUUACUCUCAUCGUAAAGACUGUGCCUCGUCACCACCAUUCUAAGUCUCCGUCGGAUAAUUACACUCUUGCACUUCACAAGGCACUCAUGUUCUUCAAUGCCCGACGAUCUGGGCUCCCGAAGCACAAUAACGUUUCGUGGAGAGGGAAUUCUUGUGUGAAUGAUGGGAAAUCGGC